rnacentral:lncRNA from 1 species
UUGAUCAAAAUCUAAAGGUAUACAUUUAUUACAUUAUUGAUACCGUAAUUAUACUAAAUAAUGGUAUAAAUUUAUUACACUAUUGAUGCCGUAAUUAUAUUAAAUAAUGGUGUACAUUUAUUACAUUAUUGAUCCCGUAAUUGUACCAAGUAAUUUCACCAUUAUGAAUAUUAGAGUCACAUGUUAUAUGCCACCUCAGUUGUUUCUACCCCGACUAUACCAAUUUUAACUUUUCAAUUGUGCAUGUAUACAUAUAUACUGUGGAGACGUCUUGUUUAUAAGACCACAUUUAUAGUUUUUACAGUGCAGGGACAUCCACACCAAAUUAUUUUCAACUAAUUGAUACAUUACAUGAUUUACGAUUCACCAUUUUUUUUUAAUUCUUUUAGCAAACAUGGAGGACAAGAUUUGCGAUUUAAAAACGCUUAGUUACUAUCCGAACCCGGGAGUUCUUUAAAAGGUUAUUAAAAAGAUGAACAAGCAUAGAAUAAUAUUUCCUCACUUUUUUAUUAUUAUCUUGAAACAUGGACAGUACAUAAGAACAAUUUAUUUCAUUAAUUUCCUCACAGCUAAGCUCCUGAGAAAACAAACGCUUGUUCCAAGUAAAUUUGUCAACUUUCAAGUACAAUCACAGACGUGGGCCUUGCACUUGCAAUCGCAUUCUGGGCAUACCACUUUACAAUCAGCGUCAAUUGUGCAUUGAACACUAUCUGUCUUGGCCUCAUUCGUUAUUUCCCUUGCUUCUGUUCCAUGUCCUAAACCUGUACGUACAUUACAUAAACAUACGAGCAUCAAUAUUCACAUUAAAAAAAAAAAAAAAAAAAACUAAAGAUAAAGUAGUCACAAAAAUAAUGUGCAACUCGAUCGGGUUUAAGCAUUACCCGGUUGAGUAUAUACUCAAUGCAUUUUGUCAGCUUUUUAGUCUCUUUAUCAUUUUUUGUUUACAUAUGUAAUGUUAGCUUCACGGAUUUGGAAACUAAAAGCAAUAUGGUGUUGAUUUAACACACCUAAAUCACAAAGAAACGUAAGCAAAUCAGAGAUUCUUACAUGAAGCAGUAACAAUUAGGGCCACCAAGAAAGUUAACUUUAGCAAAGAUUUCUCCAUUGUCUCGAGAGAUAAAAUUACCUAUGAAUUUUAAUGUGAUUGUAAAAUGUGCUUUAUGCAGUGAAGUUUAGGACACAGAGGGCUCAAUUUAUAGGUGUAGACACUACAAAUAUCAAUUAUGAGCAAAUCUAUUCUUAACAAAAACGAUCAAAUAGUAUUCCAAUUGCGUUCAAUUCUUUUUUUUUUCCCUACCAAAUAAAGAUUUGGUGAUGUUUCUUCAGAUUACAUUCAAAUUCAAAACCAAUUUGAACAAAUAACAUUGAAAGCAUGGAUAGGCUGCAUUCCUUUGAUGUACCUAGUUUCCUUUUUUUUCCUAGCGGAUUAUUUUGAUUAGAUAGAUUGAUUGCUAUAUUAACACGGCUUAAUUUGCUAGUUGCAAUUCAAAAUUCAUCCAAAAGAUAUGGUGACUCUAUUGCAGAUUACAUUCCAAAUAGGGAUGGCAAAACAUUGGGUUGGGCUCGGGCUUGGCCAAACCCGACCCGACCCGAUCAACAAAGAAUUAAAGCCCGACCCUAAAAAAGCCCUACCUAUUUAUAGGUAGGGUCGGGUCGGGCCCGACCCGAAUCGGGCAACAUCGGGUCAGGCCUACCGAAACCAUUUUCCACCCACAAUUCAAUUCUCAUGUCCCAACCACUACCAUUUCAACUAAUUCGGCAAUUCCUCAACAAUUUCAAACACAAUUCAAUUCUACUUUCCACAAUCAUUUCAAUCAAUUCCACAACCAAUUCCACAAUCAUUUCCAAAACCAUUUCACACACAAAUCAAUUCCAAAAUCCAACAUGAAAAAUACAUAAUACAAUUAAAUAAAAAACACACAAUGUAAUUUUUCAACAAUUCUAACCAUACACAAUUCAAUUCAACAACCCAACAUAAAAAAUAAAAAAACUCAUGUCUUAUAUAAAUAAAAAUACGCUAUUUAGUUCCAUAACCCACCAUUAAAAAAAAAGUCUUAUACAAUAAUACAAAUAAAAACUCAUAAUUCAAUUCCACAACCAAACGUUUUUUUUUAAAAAAA